AAACUUAGCCCUCAAAGGACUCAAAACCCUUAUCACUACCGGCUUCAGAACCGGUAGCAUCAUCACUAUCAUCAUCAUCAUCAUCACCAACAUCCUCAGCAGCACCAGAAGCACCAGCACCAAAAGCACCGGCACCCGCCCCCUCUCCAAACACAGGCCUGUCCACAGGCCAGCUAGCGUGCUGCAGAAACUACUCACGUGUCAUCAUUGAAUGCUCACCGGAGGGGUCACGCACCUGCAACUGUAACAGCUGCAUAGAAU
rnacentral:lncRNA from 1 species